rnacentral:tRNA from 1 species
GGAGAGGUGACCGAGAGGCCGAAGGUGCACGACUGGAAAUCGUGUGUACCCAAAAGGUACCGCGGGUUCAAAUCCCGCCCUCUCCGCCA